rnacentral:rRNA from 1 species
GUGCAGCAGCCGCGGUAAUACCGGCAGCUCAAGUGAUGUCCCAUAUUAUUGGGCCUAAAGCGUCCGUAGCUGGCCGACCAAGUCUCCCGGGAAAUCCACCCGCCCAACGGGUGGGCGUCCGGUAGAAACUGGCCGGCUUGGAACCGGAAGGCUCGAAGGGUACGUUCGGGGUAGGAGUGAAAUCCCGUAAUCCCGGACGGACUACCGAUGGCGAAAGCACUCUGAGAAGACGGCUUCGACAGUGAGGGACGAAAGCUCGGGUCUCAAACCGGAUUAGAAACCCGAGUAGUCC